UAAAUACCCUAUAUGUGAUCUUCACAAACUCAUCAAUACUAAACCAAGAACAGAAACAAAACUUACUAGAUUCCUACAAAUUUUUGAUUUUUCAAAUUUCUUAUCGUGAGAGUAUGGGCAUUGUUGCUUUUACCGAAGAAUUCCCUGUUUCGGCCAUAAGGAUGUCCCGUGGCGAUGGCGAUGACGGCAAUGUGGCCUUCAUACAUCCAGUGAAACGUUGAAGUUUACGCUCAAUUGAGUCAAGAUGUGACUGGUUUAUUUUAGUGAAUCAAUCUUUCUUGACCAAAAUUAAGUGUUGAUUUGGUGACUUAAUAUGAAUAUUUGUGUGUGUUCUUAAGUUCGUUCGUCCUAUGUAUCCUCUCUUACAUGUAUGUGGAGGUUCGGUAUGCAAUGUUGUGCCUUUCCUCAUCAUGCAAUAAAUAAAAGGGAUAUUAUUACUAUUUCUCA